rnacentral:tRNA from 3 species
GACCCCUUCGUCUAUCGGUUAGGACAUCAGGUUUUCAUCCUGAAAAGAGGAGUUCGAUUCUCCUAGGGGUCGCCA